CGGCAAGAGAAAUGCACCAAAGAAAUUCUGGUGGGAUUCCAGCUGCUUCUUGCUGUUGCUGUGGACUUCUGCUGAUUUGCAGAAUCUUGUGGUUUCUUCUGGAUUAAGCUGCUACUGCUGAUUCAUGUUUGGUGUUUGCUGAGUGAACACAGCUGCUAAUGCCGAUUCCUCUGUGAUAUUUUGCUGAAGGACUGCACUGCUGACAACGAAGACUUAAAGAACUAUUUCUAAACAAGUCCACAAUGCACUUCCUA
rnacentral:lncRNA from 1 species